rnacentral:rRNA from 1 species
AUUGAACGCUGGCGGCAGGCCUAACACAUGCAAGUCGAAUGGUAACAGGAAACAGCUUGCUGUUUCGCUGACGAGUGGCGGACGGGUGAGUAAUGUCUGGGAAACUGCCUGAUGGAGGGGGAUAGCUACUGGAAACGGUAGCUAAUACCGCACAACGUCGCAAGACCAAAGAGGGGGACCUUCGGGCCUCUUGCCAUCAGAUGUGCCCAGAUGGGAUUAGCUAGUAGGUGGGGUAACGGCUCACCUAGGCGACGAUCCCUAGCUGGUCUGAGAGGAUGACCAGCCACACUGGAACUGAGACACGGUCCAGACUCCUACGGGAGGCAGCAGUGGGGAAUAUUGCACAAUGGGCGCAAGCCUGAUGCAGCCAUGCCGCGCGUAUGAAGAAGGCCUUCGGGUUGUAAAGUACUUUCAGCGGGGAGGAAGGGAGUAAAGUUAAUACCUUUGCUCAUUGACGUUACCCGCAGAAGAAGCACCGGCUAACUCCGUG